rnacentral:rRNA from 1 species
GACGAACGCUGGCGGCGUGCCUAAUACAUGCAAGUAGAACGCACAGUUUAUACCGUAGCUUGCUACACCAUAGACUGUGAGUUGCGAACGGGUGAGUAACGCGUAGGUAACCUGCCUGGUAGCGGGGGAUAACUAUUGGAAACGAUAGCUAAUACCGCAUAAUAUUGAUUAUUGCAUGAUAAUUAAUUGAAAGGUGCAAUUGCACCACUACCAGAUGGACCUGCGUUGUAUUAGCUAGUAGGUGAGGUAACGGCUCACCUAGGCGACGAUACAUAGCCGACCUGAGAGGGUGAUCGGCCACACUGGGACUGAGACACGGCCCAGACUCCUACGGGAGGCAGCAGUAGGGAAUCUUCGGCAAUGGACGAAAGUCUGACCGAGCAACGCCGCGUGAGUGCAGAAGGUUUUCGGAUCGUAAAGCUCUGUUGUAAGAGAAGAACGGGUGUGAGAGUGGAAAGUUCACACUGUGACGGUAUCUUACCAGAAAGGGACGGCUAACUACGUG